CUCGUAGGUGGCCAACUAAGUCAGACGUGAAAUCCCUCGGCUUAACCGGGGAACUGCGUCUGAUACUGGAUGGCUUGAGUUUGGGAGAGGGACGCGGAAUUCCAGGUGUAGCGGUGAAAUGCGUAGAUAUCUGGAGGAACACCGGUGGCGAAGGCGGCGUCCUGGCCAACACUGACACUGAUGAGCGAAAGCCAAGGGGGAGCAAACGG
rnacentral:rRNA from 1 species